UACCUUCUACCCACACACAGAUCAAAGAGCUUUUUUUCCUGUUUUUUCUUUAGAAAACGGACCUCAGAGAACCAGAACUAGUCCUUCUGUCGGGGCAGGGUGACCCCAUCAGUGACCUACAACCCCUCUAUGACCCUACAACUCCCUCCCUCCAUGGAGUUUGUAUUUGAUGCAGAAAGGCUGUGUGUGCUCCAUCCCUCCCUCUGACCUCUAACCUGGGAUUCCAUGGCAACACAACCCUGUGAUUCCAUGUCCCCUCGAUUCCAGGACCCUCCCUGGCCCCAUGACCCCUGACCUUCCAAGUGACCUCUCUGGACCUUGACCCCCGUGACUGUUCUUCCCAUCAUCCCCUGUGACUCUGGCCCUGGCUCCCCUUGGGGGUCUUACUGGUCUGGAACUCCCCAGGAAAAUGUGGGGGAGGCUCUGGCCCCUCUUCCUGGGCUUCCUCACAGCAACUGCAGUCCCUGGACCCUCACUGCGGAGACCAUCCAGAGAACUAGAUGCCACCCCGCGGAUGACCAUCCCCUAUGAAGGUUAGACCCCCCCCCCCCCCCUACUUUGAAAGGCAGCAGGAGCCAGGUCUGAGAGUAGAGAGGCAGCCCCAGGGCUGGGCUCACUGCUCCUACUCUCCCCAGAGCUCUCCAGGACCCGGCACUUCAAGGGUCAAGCCCAGAACUACUCAACACUGCUACUGGAGGAGUCCUCCGCAAGACUGCUGGUUGGAGCCCGAGGUGCCCUGUUCUCUCUCAAUGCCCGUGACAUAGGAGAUGGGGCUCACAAAGAGAUCCGCUGGGAGGCCUCCCCAGAGAUGCAAAGCAAAUGUCAUCAGAAAGGGAAAAACAACCAGGUAUGUGGUCUGCCCUGUCCCCAGCUCCUUUCCUUCUCCUCUUCAUUUGGGGACGUCAGGGUUGGUGGGGACACAGAUGGAGAGGUAUGGAUCAGCCAGUCAGUUGCAGCAACCACAACAAACAUGUGAGUGUAGCUGGAGUGGCAGGCCCCAGGUGCAGCACUUCUAAGCCAAACCUCUGGUGACCUCCAGGUUGGCCUGUAGUGGCAUCUUAAUCUCUUCUGGGCUCCCGAAUAGUAAUCAUGA
rnacentral:lncRNA from 1 species